rnacentral:rRNA from 1 species
UACGAAGGGGGCUAGCGUUGUUCGGAAUUACUGGGCGUAAAGGGCGCGCAGGCGGUUUUGGAAGUCAGGCGUGAAAGCCCCGGGCUCAACCUGGGAACUGCGCUUGAUACUCUGAGACUAGAGUUCGGGAGAGGAGAGUGGAAUUCCCAGUGUAGAGGUGAAAUUCGUAGAUAUUGGGAAGAACACCGGUGGCGAAGGCGGCUCUCUGGACCGAUACUGACGCUGAGGCGCGAAAGCGUGGGGAGCAAACAGG